GUCCUGCUGCGGCUCACGUCGGAGGCAACAUUUCCUCGCGACCUUAAUUCACUCGAAGGGAUCUGUCCCUGUCCGGGCUCGAGGGCCUGGGCAUAUGGAGCCCACCUGGCUACCCAGGUUCGAGAGGAUUUAAACGUCCUUCACGGUUCUUGCGGCGCCGCC
rfam:Caulobacterales bacterium RIFOXYB1_FTLL_67_16 rifoxyb1_full_scaffold_5805, whole genome shotgun sequence.